CAGGUGGUCAGGUAGAGAAUACCAAGGCGCUUGAGAGAACUCGGGUGAAGGAACUAGGCAAAAUGGUGCCGUAACUUCGGGAGAAGGCACGCUGACACGUAGGUGAAGUGGUUUACCCAUGGAGCUGAAGUCAGUCGAAGAUACCAGCUGGCUGCAACUGUUUAUUAAAAACACAGCACUGUGCAAACACGAAAGUGGACGUAUACGGUGUGACGCCUGCCCGGUGCCGGAAGGUUAAUUGAUGGGGUCAGCGCAAGCGAAGCUCCUGAUCGAAGCCCCGGUAAACGGCGGCCGUAACUAUAACGGUCCUAAGGUAGCGAAAUUCCUUGUCGGGUAAGUUCCGACCUGCACGAAUGGCGUAAUGAUGGCCAGGCUGUCUCCACCCGGGACUCAGUGAAAUUGAACUCGCUGUGAAGAUGCAGUGUACCCGCGGCAAGACGGAAAGACCCCGUGAACCUUUACUAUAGCUUGACACUGAACACUGGUCCUUGAUGUGCAGGAUAGGUGGGAGGCUUUGAAGUGUGGACGCCAGUCUGCAUGGAGCCAUCCUUGAAAUACCACCCUUUAAUGGCUGGUGUUCUAACGUGGGCCCGUGAACCGGGUUGCGGACAGUGUCUGGUGGGUAGUUUGACUGGGGCGGUCUCCUCCUAAAGAGUAACGGAGGAGCACGAAGGUUGGCUAAUCCUGGUCGGACAUCAGGAGGUUAGUGCAAUGGCAUAAGCCAGCUUGACUGCGAGCGUGACGGCGCGAGCAGGUGCGAAAGCAGGUCAUAGUGAUCCGGUGGUUCUGAAUGGAAGGGCCAUCGCUCAACGGAUAAAAGGUACUCCGGGGAUAACAGGCUGAUACCGCCCAAGAGUUCAUAUCGACGGCGGUGUUUGGCACCUCGAUGUCGGCUCAUCACAUCCUGGGGCUGAAGUAGGUCCCAAGGGUAUGGCUGUUCGCCAUUUAAAGUGGUACGCGAGCUGGGUUUAGAACGUCGUGAGACAGUUCGGUCCCUAUCUGCCGUGGGCGCUGGAAGAUUGAGGGGGGCUGCUCCUAGUACGAGAGGACCGGAGUGGACGCAUCACUGGUGUUCGGGUUGUCAUGCCAAUGGCACUGCCCGGUAGCUACAUGCGGAAGAGAUAAGUGCUGAAAGCAUCUAAGCACGAAACUUGCCCCGAGAUGAAUCUUCCCUGAGCCUUUAAGGCUCCUGAAGGAACGUUGAAGACGACGACGUUGAUAGGCCGGGUGUGUAAGCGCAGCGAUGCGUUGAGCUAACCGGUACUAAUGAACCGUGAGGCUUAACCUUACAACGCCAAAG
rnacentral:rRNA from 1 species